rnacentral:sRNA from 1 species
UAUCAAAAAAAAUGCCAUUUUGAAACGC